rnacentral:rRNA from 1 species
GUGUCAGCAGCCGCGGUAAUACGGAGGGGGCUAGCGUUGUUCGGAAUUACUGGGCGUAAAGCGCACGUAGGCGGUUACUCAAGUCAGAGGUGAAAGCCCGGAGCUCAACUUCGGAAUUGCCUUUGAAACUAGGUGACUUGAACACGGGAGAGGUGAGUGGAAUUCCGAGUGUAGAGGUGAAAUUCGUAGAUAUUCGGAAGAACACCAGUGGCGAAGGCGGCUCACUGGACCGUUGUUGACGCUGAGGUGCGAAAGCGUGGGGAGCAAACAGGAUUAGAAACCCCCGUAGUCC